rnacentral:tRNA from 1 species
GUUUUGAUAGCUCAGUGGCUAGAGCGCCCCCCGUCUGUCGGUGGGAGGCCCAGGUUCGAGUCCCGGUCAAGACC